rnacentral:rRNA from 1 species
AGAUUGAUCCUGGCUAGGGAUGAACGCUAGCUACAGGCUUAACACAUGCAAGUCGAGGGGCAGCAUGAAGUUUGCUUGCAAACUUUGAUGGCGACCGGCGCACGGGUGAGUAACGCGUAUCCAACCUUCCCCAUAGUAGGGGAUAGCCCGGAGAAAUCCGGAUUAAUACCCUAUGUUCUUCGUCGAGGACAUCUGAAAUGAAGCAAAGGUUCACCGCUAUGGGAUGGGGAUGCGUCUGAUUAGGCAGUCGGCGGGGUAACGGCCCACCGAGCCGACGAUCAGUAGGGGUUCUGAGAGGAAGGUCCCCCACAUUGGAACUGAGACACGGUCCAAACUCCUACGGGAGGCAGCAGUGAGGAAUAUUGGUCAAUGGCCGAGAGGCUGAACCAGCCAAGUAGCGUGCAGGACGACGGCCCUAUGGGUUGUAAACUGCUUUUAUGCGGGGAUAAAGUUCACUACGUGUAGUGUUUUGCAGGUACCGCAUGAAUAAGGACCGGCUAAUUCCGUGCCAGCAGCCGCGGUAAUACGGAAGGUCCGGGCGUUAUCCGGAUUUAUUGGGUUUAAAGGGAGCGCACGCUGAUUAUUAAGCGUGACAUGAAAUGUAGCCGCUCAACGGCUGACCUGCGUCGCGAACUGGUAGUCUUGAGUGAGUUCGAUGUGGGCGGGAAUUCGUGGUGUAGCGGGUGAAAUGCUUAGAUAUCA